CCUACGGGGUGCAGCAGUGGGGAAUAUUGGACAAUGGGGGAAACCCUGAUCCAGCGACGCCGCGUGAGUGAAGAAGUAUUUCGGUACGUAAAGCUCUAUCAGCAGGAAAGAAAAUGACGGUACCUGACUAAGAAGCCCCGGCUAACUACGUGCCAGCAGCCGCGGUAAUACGUAGGGGGCAAGCGUUAUCCGGAUUUACUGGGUGUAAAGGGAGCGUAGACGGCAGCGCAAGUCUGGAGUGAAAUGCCGGGGCCCAACCCCGGAACUGCUCUGGAAACUGUGAAGCUGGAGUGCAGGAGAGGUAAGCGGAAUUCCUGGUGUAGCGGUGAAAUGCGUAGAUAUUAGGAGGAACACCAGUGGCGAAGGCGGUCUGCUGGACAGCAACUGACGCUGAGGCGCGAAAGCGUGGGGAGCAAACAGGAUUAGAUACCCGUGUAGUC
rnacentral:rRNA from 1 species